rnacentral:rRNA from 1 species
AGAGUUUGAUCCUGGCUCAGGAUCAACGCUGGCGGCGUGCCUAAUGCAUGCAAGUCGGGCGGGGUGAGCUUCGGCUCACUCACGCGGCGGACGGGUGCGUAACACGUGGGCAACCUACCCUGGGGCGGGGGAUAGCCACCGGAAACGGUGGGUAAUUCCGCGUACGUUUGCUUACCGGUGGGGUGAGCAAAGAAAGGCGUAAGCCACCCUUGGCGGGGCCUGCGGCCGAUUAGCUAGACGGUGGGGUAACGGCCUACCGUGGCGAUGAUCGGUAGCUGGUCUGAGAGGACGGCCAGCCACACGGGGACUGAGAGACGGCCCCGACUCCUACGGGAGGCAGCAGCAAGGAAUCUUCCGCAAUGGGCGAUGAGCCUGACGGAGCAACGCCGCGUGGGGGAUGAGGCCCUUCGGGGUGUAAACCCCUUUUCUGUGGGAAGAAGAUCUGACGGUACCACAGGAAGAAGGACCGGCUAACUACGUGCCAGCAGCCGCGGUAAUACGUAGGGUCCGAGCGUUGUCCGGAGUUACUGGGCGUAAAGCGCGCGCAGGCGGCGGUGCUGGCCCGGCGUGAAAGCCCCCGGCUCAACCGGGGAGAGUCGUCGGGGACCGCACCGCUUGAGGGCGGUAGGGGCUGGUGGAAUGCCUGGUGUAGUGGUGAAAUGCGUAGAGAUCAGGCAGAACACCUGGGGCGAAGGCGGCCAGCUGGGCCGUCCCUGACGCUGAGGCGCGAAGGCGUGGGGAGCGAACGGGAUUAGAUACCCCGGUAGUCCACGCAGUAAACGAUGCCGACUAGGCGUGGGGGGAGUUGACCCCCUCCGUGCCGGAGCUAACGCGGGAAGUCGGCCGCCUGGGGAGUACGGCCGCAAGGCUAAAACUCAAA